AUUGCACGCUGGCGGCAGGCCUAACACAUGCAAGUCGAGCGAGCGGCGGACGGGUGCGUAAUGUCUGGGAAACUGCCUGAUGGAGGGGGAUAACUACUGGAAACGGUAUCUAAUACCGCAUACCAUCAGAUGUGCCCAGAUGGGAUUAGCUAGUAGGUGGGGUAAUGGCUCACCUAGGCGCCGAUCCCUAGCUGGUCUGAGAGGAUGACAAGCAAAACUGGAACUGAGACACGUUCCAGACUCCUACGUGAGGCAGCAGUGGGGAAUAUUGCACAAUGGGCGCAAGCCUGAUGCAGCCAUGCCGCGUGUAUGAAGAAGGCCUUCGGGUUGUAAAGUACUUUCAGCGAGGAGGCGUUACUCGCAGAAGAAGCACCGGCUAACUCCGUGCCAGCAGCCGCGGUAAUAC
rnacentral:rRNA from 1 species